GCGCGGCGGGCGGCCGAGCUCGGCGCCAGGGCCGCGGUGGUGGAGAGUCACAAGCUGGGCGGCACUUGCGUGAACGUUGGAUGUGUACCCAAAAAGGUAAUGUGGAACACAGCCGUGCACUCGGAAUUCAUACAUGAUCACGUGGAUUACGGCUUUCAAAACUGCAAGAGUAAAUUCAAUUGGCAUGUCAUCAAGGAGAAGCGGGAUGCUUACGUGAGCCGCCUGAACAACAUCUACCAAAACAAUUUAACCAAGUCCCACAUCGAAGUCAUCCACGGCUACGCAACAUUUGCAG
rnacentral:lncRNA from 1 species